rnacentral:rRNA from 1 species
CUAAGAAUAUUCCGCAAUGGACGGAAGUCUGACGGAGCGACGCCGCGUGGAUGACGAAGGCCGAAAGGUUGUAAAGUUCUUUUGCUGGGGAAGAAUAACCGCAGGAGGGAAUGCCUGUGGGAUGACAAGAACCGGCGAAUAAGCCCCGGCCAACUACGUGCCAGCAGCCGCGGUAACACGUAGGGGGCGAGCGUUGUUCGGAAUUACUGGGCGUAAAGGGCAUGUAGGCGGCUUGGAAAGCCUGGCGUGAAAGUCUGCAGCUUAACUGCAGGGGUGCGCUGGGAACUGCUGAGCUUGAGUGACGGAGAGGGAGCUGGAAUUCCUGGUGUAGGGGUGAAAUCUGUAGGUAUCAGGAAGAACACCGAUGGCGAAGGCAAGCUCCUGGCCGAUGACUGACGCUGAGGUGCGAAAGUGUGGGGAUCAAACAGGAUUAGAUACCCUGGUAGUCCACACAGUCAACGAUGUGCACUAGGUGCUGGGGCGGUAGCUUCGGUGCCGGAGCGAACGUGGUAAGUGCACCGCCUGGGGAGUAUGCUCGCAAGGGUGAAACUUAAAGGAAUUGACGGGGUCAUAGCUGUUUCCU